CUGAAACCCUCUAACUUGGGGAUUGUAACCAUUCUAGACACUACGCAAUACAAUUAGGCGGUGACAAUGUCUUCGUCGCUGGCUCGUUGGCACUCAGGGUCUUCUUCUUCCGGAGAAUACUACAUGGAUUGGGAAAGCGGAGAGGAGGUAGCUCCACUGCAUAGUAGUAUCCCUCACUUCCUCCGGUUACACCGGAGAUGGAAAGGAAAAUGGAUUAACCUAUCUUAGCAAGCUAGCGAACAAAUCAAAAACAAGUUGAUUUAAUUAAGGCUUAUUGUUAAGUCCGGGUCAUUUUGACCAACAGGAUGGGUGCUGCGUUGGUUGUUAAUAACCUUGCUUCCACUUUUCUCAGACAUUUCGGGCCUAGGAGUUCUCUCACAAAUAACGAAGAAACUUAUUAUGAUUUCUCCGCUGAUACUUGGGGCAAUGGCAAAAAUUGCUAGGAAGUUAACUUAUGCUUCAGAUUUAAUCGAGCGCAAAAAAAGAAAUAUAAUGAAAAUGAUCACACCGUAUGAAAUCCGUAACCAAGUUUUAUACUCGUACAUGUAUGAAGGAACACAGGUAUAUAUGUUUCUAUUAACUAUUUUACAUGAUUCACAAUUUU